rnacentral:misc_RNA from 1 species
ACGAGUUACCUAUAACACAGGAACGUAUGCACAAUAUUAACAAUCGCAAGUGCAUAUUAUUUUUAAACAAUAAAGAGUCUUCAUCAUAUGUUUUAAUUAUGUAAUUUAUCGAAAUAUAGUAUAAAUAGUCGAGCAGAAAUUCGAUUUCUCCAAGAAAUAUCAUUUAUUUUUUUAUAAUGGUUGUUAAAUUCAGUUAUCGUUAAAAAAAUAUUUUAAUUUUAAAAUGUUUUUGCAGCGAGAGACGAAUCGAUCAACGGCGAGUUGUUACAUAAUUUGAUGACCACUAGUCAAGACACAAAUGGUCCUCGCUAUACGUAACUCUCGGUGCAUCUAAACAAACGUCAUUGUCCGUGUUUCUUUUUUUUAACAAAUUUCCAAAAAUACGCGUCGAUUAUGUAACGCGUCAUCGUAACGCGCGUUAUACAAUCGCGGGGGUGGCGAGCGGAAAAAGUCGACGUUUCGGGGAGGGCAAAAUUUUUUUUCCACACUAUAGGCAUAUAUUUCUUUUUCUUUUUUUUUUUCGUCUAAAACGCAGCGUAAACGCGUAUAUAGACGCGGGGGAAUAUUCCAUCCCUGGGAAAAAGAAGAAUCGGCCCGACGUGACGUAGGCCAAGGCAGAGGCUACGCAGUCCGGAGUUAGGCCGGCUCCGCGCCUCCCCCUCACCCGAUUGAGAGAUCAUCGGUGCGUCACCGUGCGUGUCAGCGUGCGAGCUGCUAAUAGCGGAAUCACCGCCGCCGCGAGCGACCGACCGGUUGGUGUGGGUUUGGUGGUUGACUGAUCCGCGGUCUUUCCCGUACGUCGUCCGGCACGCCGCCGCCUAAUCGGAGCGAAGCGGAGCAUAUACCGUGGCCGUAGCAGCGCGGCGCAGUGUAGCGAAGAGGAGCGAGCGCGAGCGUGCUGAGCGUGCGUCGUCGAGUCUCUCUAGGACAGCCAGCCAGCCGGUGGUGGCCACACACAAUCAGCGCGAUGGUCGUCAAGAUCUACGUAUCGGGUAUCAGCGGCAACAAGGAAGUGAAGAAAAGACAGCAACGUGUGAUGAUGAUUUUAGAUAGUAAAAACGUAGAAUAUGAGGUCAUUGAUAUAACCGAACCAGGCAAGGAAUAUGAGAAGGAAUUUAUGCAGGCCCAUAGUAAUGCUAGGAACAACAAGUAUCCAUUGCCACCACAAAUAUUUAACGAGGAUGAUUAUUGUGGCGAUUAUGAAGAUUUUGAUUUAUCAAAUGAAAUGGAUGAACUGGAAAAGUUUCUGAAAGUAACAUCAGCAGUCAGUACUGCAGAAAUUACUCUCGAUUCAAAAUCACAGAGUGAUGGAAUUCAAGAAAAUGGAAAUACUUCAAGUCGAGAGCCUUCCGCAGAUAAAGAAGCAGAUAUACUUUCUGACAGUUUACCAGAAAGGACAACUCUGAGAAGCGAGACUAAAGCGUUAGAUGACUCUAAACCAACCGAAGUAGAUAGCGCGGCAAAAGUUAUCGCUAGCGAUGAAGGUGAAAAUGCUGAAGAUAGUGGCGAUAAAAAUGAAGAGAAAUCUGACGACCAAGAAAAAGAGGAAUAGAUACAAGAUAUACCCAUGUAAAGUUGGGAUAUUCCACACAAUGACAUCCUUCCUUUUCCACUCACAAACUAUUUUGCAAAGCUACGUUUAUUACAUUACUAAGGCUGAAUGAAGAUCAAACGCGUCUGCACCAAAUGUUUUGAAACAGGUCUGAUUAGGUGGUAUGAGACAAUUCCUUCAUAUCGCUAUCUUUAUGUACAUCCUCACGUUUGUUUAUUAUUUUUGCAUUGUUUCGCACCGCACUAUACCUGAUACAUUAUAGCAUAUCCGAUAACUGAAGUACAUAUUUUUCUUUUACAUGUGCAACUUUCUCGUUAUUUUGUUGCCGCGUGCAAAACGUACAAAAAUAAAUUUAGGCUAUAGCAACACAUACAUAUACACUAUAUCAUUUGAGAUAUACGAGAACAGAUAUAUAGAUAAAUAUGUAUUAUAAUUGAACUUUUUUUAUUUUUAGAUAUAAUUGAUUUGUUACAUGAGAAAAAUUUUGAUAUUUGUAUUAUUAUACUUUUAAAUGAACGUGACAGUAUUAAAGAUGAAUUCGACUUGUUCUGAAAAUUUUUAUUUGACCAUUUUAUUUUUUGUGUUACGAUAAUGUCUUUCCAAAUAUGCUUUAAGAAGUCAUCAAUUUCUUAAUUGUGUAUUAAAUAUACUUAAUGGACUUAAUUGUGUAUUAAAUAACACUAGAAGUAGUUAUUAGAAGAAACAAAAAAAAGUCCAUUUUUAAAUUUUUGAUUGAAUUAUAAAUAUUUUUUUCAUAAGCUUCCAUUUUCUACUCAGGACAAGAUUACGCUGGUAGAUAUGACUCAUAUUUCGUGACAUUCAUUGAUGUGUGUAUAUGACUCAUACUUGUUAAAUGCAGUCUAUUCAGUCAUUAAAAUCUUUGUAUCUAAAAUCAAACGAUUAAGUUCUUUAGAAUUUUUUUUUUUUUUUAAUUGGUUUCCACAAAAAUGUUUGUAAAUUAUAUUGUAAUAAUAUUAAAAGUUCAAAAC